GUCCAGACUCCUACGGGAGGCAGCAGUAGGGAAUCUUCCGCAAUGGGCGAAAGCCUGACGGAGCAACGCCGCGUGAGUGAUGAAGGUCUUCGGAUCGUAAAACUCUGUUAUUAGGGAAGAACAUAUAUGUAAGUAACUGUGCACAUCUUGACGGUACCUAAUCAGAAAGCCACGGCUAACUACGUGCCAGCAGCCGCGGCAAUCCGUCGGUGGCAAGCGUUAUCCGGUAUUAUUGGGCGUAAAGCGCGCGAAGGCGGUUUUUUAAGUCUGAUGUGAAAGCCCACGGCUCAACCGUGGAGGGUCAUUGGAAACUGGAAAACUUGAGAGCAGAAGAGGAAAGUGUAAUUCCAUGUGUAGCGGUGACAUGCUCAGUGAUAUGGAGGAACAUCAGUGGCG
rnacentral:rRNA from 1 species